GAAUCGGUGGUUCAGUGGUAGAACGCUUGCCUGCUACGUAGGCGGCCCAGGUUCGAUUCCCGGUCGAUGCA
rnacentral:tRNA from 1 species